rnacentral:lncRNA from 1 species
AUUUACACAGACCUGUCACUAGAUGGGGGCCCUGAGCUUUAUACUGUGGAAAACGUACUGUAAUAGACGAAACAGUAGUUUGUGGUAAACCUUUUUGAGAAGAUGGUCUAUUACUCUAAUGAAACCGUAAAGUCCAUCAUUUUUUCAUUUCAAAAACUGUCAAAUGCUAUUGCUAAUUAAUUAAAACAUAUGUUUUAUAAAAAGGCACUAUAUACACAACUGCGUAGCCCACAGUGUUACUGUCACAAACUGUUGCCUCCGUCUGCAGCCACAGGCCCGUCAACGGUGGCGCCUGUGGGCACGUGAGCUACUCGGUCAGGUGAGCACACACGCGCACUCUUUUACUUUAAACUAGUCUUUUAAAUCCUUAAAUGUUUCUUGAAAUCAAGAAGUCUCUCACUUAUUAGCUUGUAGCUCGUACGCUGUGUAGCUAGAGUUAGCUAAGCUCAUACUGCUAUAGUUGCUAACUGACGUCACUGAGAGAAGCUAAUUAGUUAGUCCGUUAGUUUUAGCUAUUUGCUCAGCGGUUUUUGUUGUAUUGUUUCUCUCUACUAACAACAGUAGGUGAGUUCCACUGGGCUUCUCUGUCUCACACCAUCAACUAGAGCAACUAAAUUAAAGUAAGCUAAUUUCUAGCAAUAUAUACAUCAGUUAAUCAGUAACAACGUAUAUUUUACCGUCCUGAAAAUACCACUGACCCUAUUAAUCACAUGGUGGAAAUUACUGAAGCAAAGCCAAACAUGAAUAAUUUGACACAGUUGUUAAACUGUAACGUGUGUUGGCAGAGGCCAUGGAGGUAGAGAAGAUAAUAAAUGAUCAAGUUUAAAGGUUACUUAGUCCUGU